GAUGAACGCUGACGGCGUGCCUAAUACAUGCAAGUCGAGCGAACAGACGAGGAGCUUGCUCCUCUGACGUUAGCGGCGGACGGGUGAGUAACACGUGGAUAACCUACCUAUAAGACUGGGAUAACUUCGGGAAACCGGAGCUAAUACCGGAUAAUAUAUUGAACCGCAUGGUUCAAUAGUGAAAGACGGUUUUCCUGUAACUAUUAGUGGUACCCGCGCCGCAUUAGUUAGUUGGUAAGGUAACGGCUUACCAAGGCAACGAUGCGUAGCCGACUUGAGAGGGUGAUCGGCCACACUGGAACUGAGACACGGUCCAGACUCCUACGGGAGGCAGCAGUAGGGAAUCUUCCGCAAUGGGCGAAAGCUUGACGGAGCAACGCCGCGUGAGUGAUGAAGGUCUUCGGAUCGUAAAACUCUGUUAUUAGGGAAGAACAAAUGUGUAAGUAACUAUGCACGUCUUGACGGUACCUAAUCAGAAAGCCACGGCUAACUACGUG
rnacentral:rRNA from 1 species